ACGGAAGAGGUUCUAGCUACCCUCUCAAAAAAACUAAGGGAAA
rnacentral:ncRNA from 1 species